UUAAGUUAUUAAGGGCGCACGGUGGAUGCCUUGGCACUAGAAGCCGAUGAAGGACGUUACUAACGACGAUAUGCUUUGGGGAGCUGUAAGUAAGCUUUGAUCCAGAGAUUUCCGAAUGGGGAAACCCAGCAUGAGUUAUGUCAUGUUAUCGAUAUGUGAAUACAUAGCAUAUCAGAAGGCACACCCGGAGAACUGAAACAUCUUAGUACCCGGAGGAAGAGAAAGAAAAUUCGAUUCCCUUAGUAGCGGCGAGCGAAACGGGAAGAGCCCAAACCAACAAGCUUGCUUGUUGGGGUUGUAGGACACUCUAUACGGAGUUACAAAGGACGACAUUAGACGAAUCAUCUGGAAAGAUGAAUCAAAGAAGGUAAUAAUCCUGUAGUCGAAAAUGUUGUCUCUCUUGAGUGGAUCCUGAGUACGACGGAGCACGUGAAAUUCCGUCGGAAUCUGGGAGGACCAUCUCCUAAGGCUAAAUACUCUCUAGUGACCGAUAGUGAACCAGUACCGUGAGGGAAAGGUGAAAAGCACCCCGGAAGGGGAGUGAAAUAGAACCUGAAACCGUGUGCUUACAAGUAGUCAGAGCCCGUUAAUGGGUGAUGGCGUGCCUUUUGUAGAAUGAACCGGCGAGUUACGAUUUGAUGCAAGGUUAAGCAGUAAAUGUGGAGCCGUAGCGAAAGCGAGUCUGAAUAGGGCGUUUAGUAUUUGGUCGUAGACCCGAAACCAGGUGAUCUACCCUUGGUCAGGUUGAAGUUCAGGUAACACUGAAUGGAGGACCGAACCGACUUACGUUGAAAAGUGAGCGGAUGAACUGAGGGUAGCGGAGAAAUUCCAAUCGAACCUGGAGAUAGCUGGUUCUCUCCGAAAUAGCUUUAGGGCUAGCCUCAAGUGAUGAUUAUUGGAGGUAGAGCACUGUUUGGACGAGGGGCCCCUCUCGGGUUACCGAAUUCAGACAAACUCCGAAUGCCAAUUAAUUUAACUUGGGAGUCAGAACAUGGGUGAUAAGGUCCGUGUUCGAAAGGGAAACAGCCCAGACCACCAGCUAAGGUCCCAAAAUAUAUGUUAAGUGGAAAAGGAUGUGGCGUUGCCCAGACAACUAGGAUGUUGGCUUAGAAGCAGCCAUCAUUUAAAGAGUGCGUAAUAGCUCACUAGUCGAGUGACACUGCGCCGAAAAUGUACCGGGGCUAAACAUAUUACCGAAGCUGUGGAUUGUCCUUUGGACAAUGGUAGGAGAGCGUUCUAAGGGCGUUGAAGCAUGAUCGUAAGGACAUGUGGAGCGCUUAGAAGUGAGAAUGCCGGUGUGAGUAGCGAAAGACGGGUGAGAAUCCCGUCCACCGAUUGACUAAGGUUUCCAGAGGAAGGCUCGUCCGCUCUGGGUUAGUCGGGUCCUAAGCUGAGGCCGACAGGCGUAGGCGAUGGAUAACAGGUUGAUAUUCCUGUACCACCUAUAAUCGUUUUAAUCGAUGGGGGGACGCAGUAGGAUAGGCGAAGCGUGCGAUUGGAUUGCACGUCUAAGCAGUAAGGCUGAGUAUUAGGCAAAUCCGGUACUCGUUAAGGCUGAGCUGUGAUGGGGAGAAGACAUUGUGUCUUCGAGUCGUUGAUUUCACACUGCCGAGAAAAGCCUCUAGAUAGAAAAUAGGUGCCCGUACCGCAAACCGACACAGGUAGUCAAGAUGAGAAUUCUAAGGUGAGCGAGCGAACUCUCGUUAAGGAACUCGGCAAAAUGACCCCGUAACUUCGGGAGAAGGGNUGCUCUUUAGGGUUAACGCCCAGAAGAGCCGCAGUGAAUAGGCCCAAGCGACUGUUUAUCAAAAACACAGGUCUCUGCUAAACCGUAAGGUGAUGUAUAGGGGCUGACGCCUGCCCGGUGCUGGAAGGUUAAGAGGAGUGGUUAGCUUCUGCGAAGCUACGAAUCGAAGCCCCAGUAAACGGCGGCCGUAACUAUAACGGUCCUAAGGUAGCGAAAUUCCUUGUCGGGUAAGUUCCGACCCGCACGAAAGGCGUAACGAUUUGGGCACUGUCUCAACGAGAGACUCGGUGAAAUCAUAGUACCUGUGAAGAUGCAGGUUACCCGCGACAGGACGGAAAGACCCCGUGGAGCUUUACUGUAGCCUGAUAUUGAAAUUCGGCACAGCUUGUACAGGAUAGGUAGGAGCCUUUGAAACGUGAGCGCUAGCUUACGUGGAGGCGCUGGUGGGAUACUACCCUAGCUGUGUUGGCUUUCUAACCCGCACCACUUAUCGUGGUGGGAGACAGUGUCAGGCGGGCAGUUUGACUGGGGCGGUCGCCUCCUAAAAGGUAACGGAGGCGCUCAAAGGUUCCCUCAGAAUGGUUGGAAAUCAUUCAUAGAGUGUAAAGGCAUAAGGGAGCUUGACUGCGAGACCUACAAGUCGAGCAGGGUCGAAAGACGGACUUAGUGAUCCGGUGGUUCCGCAUGGAAGGGCCAUCGCUCAACGGAUAAAAGCUACCCCGGGGAUAACAGGCUUAUCUCCCCCAAGAGUUCACAUCGACGGGGAGGUUUGGCACCUCGAUGUCGGCUCAUCGCAUCCUGGGGCUGUAGUCGGUCCCAAGGGUUGGGCUGUUCGCCCAUUAAAGCGGUACGCGAGCUGGGUUCAGAACGUCGUGAGACAGUUCGGUCCCUAUCCGUCGUGGGCGUAGGAAAUUUGAGAGGAGCUGUCCUUAGUACGAGAGGACCGGGAUGGACAUACCUCUGGUGUACCAGUUGUCGUGCCAACGGCAUAGCUGGGUAGCUAUGUGUGGACGGGAUAAGUGCUGAAAGCAUCUAAGCAUGAAGCCCCCCUCAAGAUGAGAUUUCCCAACUUCGGUUAUAAGAUCCCUCAAAGAUGAUGAGGUUAAUAGGUUCGAGGUGGAAGCAUGGUGACAUGUGGAGCUGACGAAUACUAAUCGAUCGAAGACUUAAUCAA
rnacentral:rRNA from 1 species